AGGGAAGUAAAAGUCGUAACAAGGUCUCCGUUGGUGAACCAGCGGAGGGAUCAUUACCGAGUUAUACAACUCCCAAACCCACUGUGAACCUUACCUCAGUUGCCUCGGCGGGAACGCCCCGGCCGCCUGCCCCCGCGCCGGCGCCGGACCCAGGCGCCCGCCGCAGGGACCCCAAACUCUCUUGCAUUACGCCCAGCGGGCGGAAUUUCUUCUCUGAGUUGCACAAGCAAAAACAAAUGAAUCAAAACUUUCAACAACGGAUCUCUUGGUUCUGGCAUCGAUGAAGAACGCAGCGAAAUGCGAUAAGUAAUGUGAAUUGCAGAAUUCAGUGAAUCAUCGAAUCUUUGAACGCACAUUGCGCCCGCCAGCAUUCUGGCGGGCAUGCCUGUUCGAGCGUCAUUUCAACCCUCGAGCCCCCCCCGGGGGCCUCGGUGUUGGGGGACGGCACACCAGCCGCCCCCGAAAUGCAGUGGCGACCCCGCCGCAGCCUCCCCUGCGUAGUAGCACACACCUCGCACCGGAGCGCGGAGGCGGUCACGCCGUAAAACGCCCAACUUUCUUAGAGUUGACCUCGGAUCAGGUAGGAAUACCCGCUGAACUUAAGCAUAU
rnacentral:rRNA from 1 species